CAGUUGAAACAUAAUCCUAGAGGUAAUGCCAACUCCACUUCUUUACCAAGCUCUUCAUUUGAUCCCCGUUCCCUUUGCUACUACCAUAUGAACAAUAAAUCAAUCUUCUUUCCUGGUGAGAUUGUGACAUCAGAGGGAGGAACUUCUUGUGAUAUGGCAGAGCUUCUGUGCACAAGUUUAAUCCAAGUGCUGCUCCUGAAAUUGUUGUGAUGCACCUGGAAUAUAUUCAGUUCUGGGCAUCUCAUUACUGGAAAGAACUGACAAAUUGGAAGGACGGCAGAGAAGAGUUGCAAAAAUGAUUAGGAGCUGGUGUGCGUUAUUUAUGAGGAAAGAUGAAAAGAGCUUGAGAGCAAUGCAAGUAGAAGUAUGCAACUGAAACCAUGCAAUUGGAAAACAGACACUGAAGAAAGGAUGGAUAAAUAUAAGGCACAAAUCUACAAAGAACAAGAAUAUCCUUCAGCUGGCCACAGGGAAAACGAAGGGAACUGCUAGUGCAAAAGAAAUGAUUGCUUAAUAGCUGCUUACAGGGAGGACUUCUCUUGCCACAUGACUGCAGUUCUACCGCCAGGCAAAAGUUUCAAGGGGUCUUCUUUGGGCUGGUACAAAUAGGUCUAAGUCAUUUUCCUACAGCUGAAGAUCUGAGGAGAUUUACUCCCAUCAUUAGUGUGAGCCCAUGCAGAAGGAGGUACAGAACCAAGGCAGAGGCGAUGGAGGGUAAUUAGUGACCAUCUGACACUUCUGGUGACUUCUCAGAAGGCCGGCAGCGAAGAUCAUUUCUUGUCUCUAUAAAAGGUGUGGAUCAUUCUCCAUGCUCACCUUAUUUCUACCCUUGGGCUAGGACACAAAUCAUAAUAAUUAUCCCUCUGUUUUGGUCCCUCGCCCACAGUCACUGCAAUUAUUUCCUAAAACAUGGCAAUUAUUAAAAACACAGCAUAAACAGUAAACACUGCUGCUCUAGACGGCAGGAUAUCAAAGCUGGGGAACACAAAGGGAAGGGAACUCAGAACAGUAUGUAAACAGGAGUGACAGCCCCAAAUGCAGGGAAACACAAAGCCCUGUUAAUUACUGCUCCUGCUACAGCCUGGUAAUUUGCUGAUACCACUGCCUUCCAACUCAGUCUCUGUGAUCUGCCUGAAAAAUGUUGUGAUACUUAUAACCAGCCAGGAAGAGAAAGACAAUGGAGCUUGCCUUUCUUUCCUCCACCCCAGUUUUGUUUUAAUCUUGAAUCACAGAUGACACAAAGGUCAAGUAUAUUCUUUAUUGACUUGCACUCUAAUGCUUGAGAGUGCUUGGAGUUUUUUGAGGGGAUGGGUGGGAUACAAGAGGUCCCAGCAACACCAAAACCAGCAGAACCUCUUUAGAAGAAGAAUAAAAAUCUGCUUGACUAAUGAUUUGGCUAAUGCAGAAGGUGGAUGAACCAGUAUACCAAUGUGGUAGUCAAGUGAUCAGAGGCCUGCAAUGUAAUUUGACCAAAUACAUGGAUUCCAGACACAUUUGUGUGUCAGCCCAAGGAUUCUCUGACAUCUGGCUGGCUUGAAAUGAUUUUGCAUGAAAAAAUUGCUAUUUCUGGGUAUUCUUAACUGAAAAAAAUAGGCCUUUUUCCUAGAAAAUAAGAGUUUGUGAAACAAGUCUUUGAUGUUAUUGAUUUUUUUUUCAUUUUCUUAAAAAAUGUUGGCAACAUUAUUGACUGAUAUCUUAUCAACAUUUUCCCAGUAUUUAUCACAGUUUUUUUUUUUAAUUAUAGUGAGAUUAUCAUUUGUACAAAGGCUGGGUUUCAAUAAGAGUUUGAUUUGUUUUGAAUUGGGAAAAGAUUUUGAUCUGUAUAAAGAUGCCUGGAAAUUAGGUCCUCUUUUGAACCAGUUCACAGUGCACUGGCUUAAUAUUAAAUGUGGACACCAAAUGUUCUGUGACACAGGGCUGGUCAGUCCUCCAGGCAUCCCACACUGCAUCAUUUCUCACCCUCCUACACUGCUGCAGCUGGCCACUCUGAUAUGCAGCAACAACUCUACUGCCCAAUUUUUUUCCUUUUGUUGGCACUUUUUAUCAACACAUUGCUUGUUCAAUAAAAGCUAUCUUUCUAACAACCAGCUGU